GCUGUGCUGGUUAGAUUAGUAGGUUCUGGGGUUUGAUAAUAGGUGGAUGGAGCUGUGCUGGUUAGAUUAGUAGGUUCUGGGGUUUGAUAAUAGGUGGAUGGAGCUGUGCUGGUUAGAUUAGUAGGUUCUGGGGUUUGAUAAUAGGUGGAUGGAGCUGUGCUGGUUAGAUUAGUAGGUUCUGGGGUUUGAUAACUGAUGGAUGAUGCUAUGCUUGUAAGAUUAGUAGGUUCUGGGGUUUGAUAACAGAUGGAUGGAGCUGUGCUGGUUAGAUUAGUAGGUUCUGGGGUUUGAUAAUAGAUGGAUGGUGCUGUGCUGGUUAGAUCAGUAGGUUGUGGGGUUUGAUAACAGACGGAUGGAGCUGUACUAGUUAGCUUAGUAGGUUCUGGGGUUUGAUAACAGAUGGAUGGAGUUGUCCUGGUUACAUUAGUAGGUUCUUGGGUUUGAGAACAGAUGGGUGGUGCUGU